ACUUAAAUAGCUUAUAUAAUAGAGCAUAAUAUUGAAGAUAUUAAGGAAAUAUUUUAUUUUUAAGUA
rnacentral:tRNA from 2 species